rnacentral:lncRNA from 1 species
UUUUUUUUUUUUUUUGGUCUUUUUGUCUUUGUUGUUGUUGUUGUUGUUGCUAUUUCUUGGGCCGCUCCCGUGGCAUAUGGAGGUUCCCAGGCUAGGGGUCGAAUCGGAGCUGUAGCCUCUGGUCUACGCCAGAGCCACAGCAACGCGGGAUCCGAGCCGCGUCUGCAACCUACACCACAGCUCACGGCAACGCCGGAUCGUUAACCCACUGAGCAAGGGCAGGGACCGAACCCGCAACCUCAUGGUUCCUAGUCGGAUUCGUUAACCACUGCGCCACGACGGGAACUCCCAGAUUUUUUUUUUUUUAAUGGCUGCACUUGUGGCAUAUUCCCAGGCUAGGGUUGAAUCAGAGCUGCAGCUGCUGGCCUACACCACAGCAAUGUCAGAUCCGAGCCACAUCUGAGACCUAUGCCACAGCUCAUGGCAAUGCCAGAUUCUUCAACACACGGAGCAAGGCCAGGUAUCGAACCUGCGUCCUCUUGGAUACUAGUCUGGUUCAUUACUGCUGAGCCGCAAUGGGAACUCCCUAGAUUACCUUUUUUUUAGCGUGUUGGUGGGAGGUGAUCUCCAUGUCCCACUCUUCCACUGUCUUGAUCUCGCCUCAAUUAUGUUUUUAUUAUUUCUUUACCUACUUUUAUGCUCUAAUUAUUGCAUAUCAAAAAUUAUAAUAAAAAUAUGUUCAUCAAUACUUUACAGGAACUUUUAGUCUUUAGAUAAGGUUUGUUACACAAUUAUUUAUCUUUUGUGUAUUUAAUAUUACUAUUAUUAGCCACGUGCAUGGCUUAUGGAAGUUCCCAGGCUAGGGACUGAAUUAGAGGCACAGCUCUGACUUACAGCAGAGCUGUGACAAUGCUGGAUCCUUAACCCACUGUGCUGGGCUGGGGAUUGACCCUGCGCCUCAGCAGCAACCAGAGCCACCACAGAGACAACCCUGGAUACUUAACCAGCCACACCACGGUGGGGAUGAUGUUUUGUGUAGUUUUGUUUUGUGUUGUUUGCCCCCCAGCAUAUGGACUUAGAUGGAUCCUUUAACCCACUGUGCCAGGUUGGGGAUCAAACCUGCAUCCUGGUGCUGCAGAGGUGCUGCUGAUCCUGUUGAGCCACAUGGUUUGGAUCAGCAAGGGUCUGCACCUGGGACUGGCACAGUGGGUUAAAGGAUCCAGCAUUGCAGCAGCUGCCACAUGCUUCAGCUGUGGCUUGGAAUUGAUCCCUGGUCUAGGAACCUCCAUAUGCCUCAGGUGUGGCCAUAAAAAAAGUGUUGGAGUUCCUGCAGUGGCUCAAUAGGAUUGGCCGUGUGUGUCUGAAGCACUAGGAUGCCAGUUCAAUCCCUGGCGCAGUAGGUUGAUGACUUGGCGUUGCUGCAGUCGUGGUGUAGGUCGCAGCUGUGGCUCAGAUCUGAUCCCUGGCCCAGGAACUCCAUGUGCCACGGGGUGGCCGUAAAAGAAAAAAAAAUGUUGAUCAACAUUUUCUAGGCACUUUUAUUCCUUAAAUUUUUUUUGGUCAGAGAAUUAUUUAUCUUUUGUGUAUUUCAUUAUUACUAUCACUGUGAGGUAAUCAGCUGUUCAUGUUUUGGGAGAGGGUCUUUCAGAUAUAAAUACAAGCAUUCAAGCACUUCAGUAAAUACAUGCACAUCUUUUCAAGUUAGUGUUUUCAUCUCCUCCAAAUGAAUACCUAGAAGCAGAAUUGCUGGAUCAUGUUAGCGCUGUUUUUAAUUUUCUGAGGACCCUCCAUGCCAUUUUUUAUACUGGCUGUACCAACAGUACACAAACGUUCCCUUUUUCCAGAUCCCUGCCAACCCUGUUAACAGUUAUUUUUGUCUUUUUGGUAACAGCCAUUCCAGCCAGUGCGAGGUGACACCUCGUUGAGGCUUGGAUUUCUGUUUACCUGAUUAGUGGUGGUGAAUACCAUUUCAUGUACCUGCAGCUGUGUCUUCCUUGGAAAAAUGUCUUAUUCAGAACCCUGUCCAUUUCUAACUGUUUUGGUUUUUUGCUACUGAGUUACAUGAGUUCUUUACAUAUUUUGGAUCUUAAUCCCUUAUGAGACAUGUAGUUUGCAAAUAUUUGUUGAUCAAUAUUUUCUAGGCACUUCAACUCCUUAGAUUAAGUUUUUGUCAGAGAAUUAUUUUUUUGUGUAUUUUAUUAUUUUUUUGGCUGCGCCUGCAGCACAUGGAAGUUCCCAGGCCAGGGAUCAAACUCAAGCCACAGCUGUGACAACACUACAUUCUUUAACCCACUGAGCCAGGCCAGAUAUCGAACCUGGGCCUCAGCAGUGACCUGAGC